AUCGAACCACGGGAGUUACCUAGGUCGGGUCGACCUACAUGGCCGUGA
rnacentral:sRNA from 1 species